rnacentral:rRNA from 1 species
AUAACAGCUGGAAACGGCUGCUAAUACCGCAUAAGCGCACAGAGCUGCAUGGCUCGGUGUGAAAAACUCCGGUGGUAUGGGAUGGGCCCGCGUCUGAUUAGGCAGUUGGCGGGGUGACGGCCCACCAAACCGACGAUCAGUAGCCGGCCUGAGAGGGCGACCGGCCACAUUGGGACUGAGACACGGCCCAAACUCCUACGGGAGGCAGCAGUGGGGAAUAUUGCACAAUGGGGGAAACCCUGAUGCAGCGACGCCGCGUGAGCGAAGAAGUAUUUCGGUAUGUAAAGCUCUAUCAGCAGGGAAGAUAAUGACGGUACCUGACUAAGAAGCCCCGGCUAACUACGUGCCAGCAGCCGCGGUAAUACGUAGGGGGCAAGCGUUAUCCGGAUUUACUGGGUGUAAAGGGAGCGUAGACGGCAAGGCAAGUCUGAUGUGAAAACCCAGGGCUUAACCCUGGGACUGCAUUGGAAACUGUCUGGCUCGAGUGCCGGAGAGGUGAGCGGAAUUCCUAGUGUAGCGGUGAAAUGCGUAGAUAUUAGGAAGAACACCAGUGGCGAAGGCGGCUUACUGGACGGUAACUGACGUUGAGGCUCGAAAGCGUGGGGAGCAAACAGGAUUAGAUACCCUGGUAGUCCACGCCGU